rnacentral:rRNA from 1 species
UGCGUAGGCGGGCUAAUAAGUCAGUGGUGAAAUCUCUCGGCUCAACCGGGAAACUGCCAUUGAUACUGUUAGUCUUGAGUUCGGUUGAGGUAGGCGGAAUGUGUAAUGUAGCGGUGAAAUGCUUAGAUAUUACACAGAACACCAAUUACGUAGGCAGCUUACUAGACCGACACUGACGCUGAGGCACGAAAGCGUGGGGAGCGAACAGGAUUAGAUACCCUGGUAGUCC